rnacentral:rRNA from 1 species
UACGGAGGGGGCGAGCGUUAUUCGGGAAUUUAUUGGGCGUAAAAGGGCGCGUAGGCGGUGCGGUAAGUCUGUAGUGAAAUCUCUGGGCUCAACUCAGAGUCUGCUAUAGAAACUGCCGUGCUUGAGUGUGGGAGAGGUGAGUGGAAUUCCCGGUGUAGCGGUGAAAAUGCGUAGAUAUCGGGAGGAACACCUGUGGCGAAAAGCGGCUCACUGGACCACACUGACGCUGAGGC